rnacentral:rRNA from 1 species
CGGACGGGUGAGUAAUGUCUGGGAAACUGCCUGAUGGAGGGGGAUAACUGCUGGAAACGGUAGCUAAUACCGCAUAACGUCGCAAGACCAAAGAGGGGGACCUUCGGGCCUCUUGCCAUCGGAUGUGCCCAGAUGGGAUUAGCUAGUAGGUGGGGUAACGGCUCACCUAGGCGACGAUCCCUAGCUGGUCUGAGGGGAUGACCGGCCACACUGGAACUGAGACACGGUCCAG